CUUGUGAGAGAGGCUAAGCCAUAGUAUGCAACUCAGCAGCACUUGAAUUCCUGACCCACAGAAACUGUGAGAAAAUAAAUGUGUAUUGUUUUUAGCUGUCCAAUUUGUUACACAGCAACAGAUAACGAAUACAUCUCUAGGCUAGUCUGCUGGAUGAUGAGUGACAUAUGGCCUACUCACUUCCUUUCACCCAGCCAACACCCAGACAACCACCAGGCAAGUGAGUGAGACAUCCUAGACCAGUCUGCUGUCAGCUGCUUGCAGACAUGCCCGAGAAGGCAAGGGAGGGAGCAGGAACCAGAACCAGAGGAGGU
rnacentral:lncRNA from 1 species